UGAUAGUGUAGUUUUUCAAUUAUAUCGAAAAUUAACGCAAAGAAAAUGAAAAAAAAAAAGAAAAAUUCUGCAGAAUAUCCAUAUUUAAUAGUAGAUCAUUACAUUAGCACAUUAAUUUCAACUUCUCCUCUGGGUCUCCAAAUUCCAAACCAACGAGUGUGGCUCCUCAGCGCUUCCCUGGUCCUCCUGGUGGUGAAUCACUUGCACGCGGACUCGUGGGUCUUUGAAGUGAAUGACGACGAUCUAAAAUAGCCAACAUGAGGAA
rnacentral:misc_RNA from 1 species